rnacentral:misc_RNA from 1 species
AAAGUCGUAACAAGGUUUCCGUAGGUGAACCUGCGGAAGGAUCAUUACAAAUCACACGUGCUAAUAUACUCUUACUCCUACCGCCUAUGAGAGCAUAGAAAGCAAAGUAGAAUAUUAUGAUGGGAUUUAACCAUACUUUUAUUCUAUUUUGUCUCUGGGCCCCCUCAGGGUUGUGUAAUGGUGUGUUGUAUGUUGCACACAUUGGCACAAGGUUUCGCUACCCACCAUCAUAAUUUUGAUGGUUGAGUUAGCCUGACCUUGAUGUUUACGCUUGUUUGUUUGACAGAGUAAAUUUGAGACCUUUAAAAUAUUGACAACUUUUAACAAUGGAUCUCUUGGCUCUU